GAUGAACGCUGGCGGCGUGCCUAAUACAUGCAAGUCGAGCGAACAGACGAGGAGCUUGCUCCUCUGACGUUAGCGGCGGACGGGUGAGUAACACGUGGAUAACCUACCUAUAAGACUGGGAUAACUUCGGGAAACCGGAGCUAAUACCGGAUAAUAUAUUGAACCGCAUGGUUCAAUAGUGAAAGACGGUUUUGCUGUCACUUAUAGAUGGAUCCGCGCCGCAUUAGCUAGUUGGUAAGGUAACGGCUUACCAAGGCGACGAUGCGUAGCCGACCUGAGAGGGGGAACGGCCAAAACGGAACUGAGACAAGGUCCAGACUCCCAAGGGAGGCAGCAGUAGGGAAUCUUCCGCAAUGGGCGAAAGCCUGAAGGAGCAACGCCGCGUGAGGGAUGAAGGUCUUCGGAUCGUAAAACUCUGUUAUUAGGGAAGAACAAAUGGGGAAGUAACUAUGCACGUCUUGAAGGUACCUAAUCAGAAAGCCACGGCUAACUACGUG
rnacentral:rRNA from 1 species